GGCUCUCAGUGGAUAGUUCAGUCGGUGAGAGCAUGGUGCUGAUGAUGCCAAGGUUGCAGUUUCAAUCCCUGCAUGGGUCA